GGUGGGCGCAGCUUCGGCUGCGGUACACC
rnacentral:misc_RNA from 1 species